rnacentral:rRNA from 1 species
AUUAGCUAGUUGGUGAGGUAAUGGCUCACCAAGGCAACGAUCCCUAGCUGGUCUGAGAGGAUGAUCAGCCACACUGGAACUGAGACACGGUCCAGACUCCUACGGGAGGCAGCAGUGGGGAAUAUUGCACAAUGGGCGAAAGCCUGAUGCAGCCAUGCCGCGUGUAUGAAGAAGGCCUUCGGGUUGUAAAGUACUUUCAGUCGUGAGGAAGGGGGUAAGCUUAAUACGCUUAUCUCUUGACGUUAGCGACAGAAGAAGCACCGGCUAACUCCGUGCCAGCAGCCGCGGUAAUACGGAGGGUGCGAGCGUUAAUCGGAAUUACUGGGCGUAAAGCGCAUGCAGGUGGUUCAAUAAGUCAGAUGUGAAAGCCCGGGGCUCAACCUCGGAACUGCAUUUGAAACUGUUGGACUAGAGUACUGUAGAGGGGGGUAGAAUUUCAGGUGUAGCGGUGAAAUGCGUAGAGAUCUGAAGGAAUACCAGUGGCGAAGGCGGCCCCCUGGACAGAUACUGACACUCAGAUGCGAAAGCGUGGGGAGCAAACAGGAUUAGAUACCC